rnacentral:rRNA from 1 species
GGACCCGCACAAGCGGUGGAGCAUGUGGUUUAAUUCGAUGCAACGCGAAGAACCUUACCUGGCCUUGACAUCCAUGGAAUUUUGCAGAGAUGCAGAAGUGCCUUCGGGAACCAUGAGACAGGUGCUGCAUGGCUGUCGUCAGCUCGUGUCGUGAGAUGUUGGGUUAAGUCCCGCAACGAGCGCAACCCUUGUCCUUAGUUGCCAUCAUUCAGUUGGGAACUCUAAGGAGACCGCCGGUGACAAACCGGAGGAAGGUGGGGAUGACGUCAAGUCAUCAUGGCCUUUAUGGCCAGGGCUACACACGUGCUACAAUGGCAGGUACAGAGGGAAGCCAACGCGCGAGCGGGAGCCAAUCCCAGAAAGCCUGUCGUAGUCCGGAUCGGAGUCUGCAACUCGACUCUGUGAAGUUGGAAUCGCUAGUAAUCGCAGAUCAGCAUUGCUGCGGUGAAUACGUUCCCGGGUCUU